GCCGGUAUGAUGGAAUUGGCAGACGUGACGGACUCAAAAUCCGUUGGCUUUAAAACCGUGUGGGUUCGAGUCCCACUACCGGUACCA
rnacentral:tRNA from 1 species